rnacentral:misc_RNA from 1 species
UUCUUUUUCUUCUUCUCCUUCUUCCCAGUUUCUUCAGGUUCUGCGCCAUCCUCCGCUUCAGCAGAUUUCUUCUUUUUCUUUUUCUUCUCUCCUUUAGUAACAGGGGAUUCAUCACCUGCUGCUUCCUCGGUUUGAUCAUCUAUACUCAUUUUCUUUUCCUCAUUCCCAGUGUGUCCCAUAACAGAAUCAGCAGAAGGAUUGUAAACCUUAGCUGGUGUUAUCAACCCUCCUUUUUUGCGAUCCUUGUCAUAAACUUCAAUCUUAGGUUUGCCCUUAGCAGACCCAGCUGAUUUGCUCAACUCUUUGCCUUCUAAGGCUCUUAAGCGUGCCUCAAGCUUGGCACGAUUCUCCAAACCCAUGGAAUUAUCUUGGCUAUCUGCAAGAGCAUCGUAUCGAAUAGCCAAUGCAGUCUUUGCAGCAAGAGAUCUUGAAAUUUUACCCUUGUGUUUUGGUGCUGCCUGUCCAAUCAAAGAUGCAUGAUAUAUAAGCCCAUAUUUUGGAGUUGCGUGUUUUGUCUUCAAAGCUCUGAAAAGA